rfam:Gossypium raimondii Chr01_contig_143, whole genome shotgun sequence.
AAUAGGAGAAUGACAAAUUAGAUUUUUUUCGCAUGAUUUUCAACUUUUUUUCUUCUGACAAAAUUUAAAUCCAACUAAAAAUGCUAAAAAUCAGGAGAAAAAAUUUGAUUUGUCAUUUUUCUAUU